AUGUCACGGGUGACAAAAACGCUCAGCAAGCGGAACCCUCUUGACGAGUCACGAGUUUCCCGAGGGAACGAUUUGUGUGCGACACAUCCCACUCCGGUUCCGGGUGCGGCAGAAACAUUGUCCGGCCUGAUUAGCGCUAAUGCACUGCAGGUUCGAGAGAGAGAGAGGAGCGGUGUGCACAUAGGCUUCCUGCUUUACAAGCAAAGGAUAAAAGGGCUAUUCAGAGGAGUUUCGGCGCGGUGGGUCUUUGUGGAGCAGUUUUGGGCACAAGCUUGCCCAGGGAAGUUAUUUGGGCGUGAAGGUUUCCUGUUGAAGUCUCCGGGGAAAAGGUUUUUCUAUUGAAGUCUGCUGGAACAGAGUUCGUCUGUGGGAAUCUGCUGGACUGAUUUAUCGAUUGGAUCUGCGCUGUGAAGGGAGAGAGAAAGAUAAGUGAAUUGAUUUCAUCUUACAAACAUUCGAAAAGCUUGAAGAGGAUACAGUGAAUGUAAAUCUGACUGUUGGGGAAGCUAUGUGUUUCAGAGUGUGCUGAAGAGGAAUUGAGGAUUGAAUAUCCCCCACGGGAGUGUAACGAAUGGAUUGAGACCUCUGAUCAGCCUUACCGUACCGUCUGAGUCUGGAAGUACGCAGCAUCGCUGAGGAAGUAAGCUUUUAAAUUAUUCUUUCUAAUGUGCCCCGGCGAAAGUAUUCUGUACUGCGAGGGAUGCUUACCUGUCUACUCACCGUCGGAGUCCCGAAGGAUGCAGUAUUUCUGCCCUAGGAAGGAACAUAUUGCUGUGGGGAAAUUCUUGCCUUCUUACUUACCGUCUGAGUCUGGAAGUAUGCAGCAUUGCUGAGGAAGCAAGCUUUUAAAUUACUCUUUCUCUAAUGUGCCCUGACGAAAGUAUUCUGUACUGCGAAGAACCCUGACCUGUCUACUCACCGACGGAGUCCUGAAGAAUGCAGCAUUGUUGGUGAAACUCACUGCCCGAGUCUUGAAGAGAGCCGCCCUAUUGGUGAAGUCGCCGUCAGGGCGAAACUGCGACGUACGAUCAGUACCUAUCCGUAGCUGAAGAAGACCUAGAGGACACUGAAGUCUAUCACGCUUGUGCUCACUGAUAUAUUGUGCUCAAUAAAGAUUGUUAUUCCUUUGAAGUUACCUCUUGUCUGCGUUGUCCAUCUGUUGCGGACCUGUGGUGUCGGCUCCUCACGGUGGGGUCUAAGUAAGGGGUGGCUGGUCAUCCGAGUCCACCCCGGUGACAU
ensembl:lncRNA